CACGUAGGCGGUCGGACAAGUCGGGUGUGAAAUCCUCCGGCUCAACUGGAGAACUGCGCUCGAAACUGUUCGACUUGGGUACAGGAGAGGAGAGUGGAAUUCCCAGUGUAGCGGUGAAAUGCGUAGAUAUUGGGAGGAACACCAGUGGCGAAGGCGACUCUCUAGCCUGAUACCGACGCUGAGGUGCGAAAGCCAGGGGAGCGAACG
rnacentral:rRNA from 1 species